ensembl:lncRNA
GAAGAAGAAGAAGAAGAAGAAGAAGAAGAAAGAGAGAAAAACGGGGGAGAAUGUGAGGAGGAGAGGGGGGGAGAAGAGAAAAAAAGGAGAGGAGAGAAGAGAGAUGAGAGAGAGAGAGAGAGNAAAGAAGAGAGAGAGAGAGAGAGAGAAAGAAAGAAAGAAAGAACGUUUGAAAGAAAGAAAGAAAGAAAGAAAGAAAGAAAGAAAGAAAGAAAGAAAGAAAGAAAGAAAGAAAGAAAGAAAGAAAGAAAGAAAGAAAGAAAGAAAGAAAGAAAGAAAGAAAGAAAGAAAAAGAGAGAGAGAGAGAAAGUGAGGAAGGAAGGAAGGAAGAGAGAGAGAAAGAGAGAGAGAGAGAAAGAGAGGAAGGAAGGAAGAAAGAGAGAGAGAGAGAAAGAAAGAAAGAGAGAAAGAAAGAAAGAAAGAAAGAAAGAAAGAAAGAAAGAAAGAAAGAAAGAAAGAAAGAAAGAAAGAAAGAAAGAAAGAAAGAAAGAAAGAAAGAAAGAAAGAAAGAAAGAAAGAAAGAAAGAAAGAAAGAAAGAAAAAGAAAGAAAGAAAGAAACCCCUCAGCGGCCCCUUUUCUUAUUCCAUGGGACGAGGACAGUUGGAUCUUGGAGGGGGGGGAGGGGGGAUCACUUGUCCCAAAGAGAAAACAUGCUCGAAAUUGCCCUAACCUAGAAGUGAAACCUUUGUUCCCUCAGCUUGGCAGCCUGUAAAAUAACCAUUUAUUUUAAUGUAUCUUAAACAGCAAUAACAAACAGCCCAAACUCCAGUGAUAAAUGUCCUUUUCCCAAUCAACAGCCUAAAGUGCCAACAGUCACCCCUCCCGCCGCUCUCCUCUCGCCUUACAGAAACGUGUCCUCUCUCUCUCGCUCUCGCUCUCUCUACACUGUUAGGAAAACUUUAGAAAUAAUAAUAAUAAUAAUAAUACACAAUAACAAGCCUGUGGGUCUUUUCCGUUUAAGAGCUCUGUCCCGGGGCCAAUCCUGGCCCCCGGCCACCUUCGGACCCCGGGCCGAGGGGAGGGGCCGGCUUGGAUCACUUUCACUGGUCCCUCCAUCUUCCCGGAGCGCUAAGCUGGGGCUCUCCCAGGCCGUGUCCAUGGGCUCCUGGAGGGCCCUCACAGUCCCAGGGCGGGAGCUGAGGGUGGGCGCACGGGGAGUCGGAUGGCGUUGGGUGGAGGGGACUGGGGUGAUCCCACGCAAGGCCGCUUUGGAGCGUCGCCUGGGGUCCCCGGGGCCGCCCAAGUUUGCUCCGAAGGGGGCGUUCUAGAACUCUGCCACGGUCCUGCUCGCUUCACCGCCGGUCCGAGCCAAUUCUGGGCACACUGGGCAGAGGAAAGAGAAGUCUGCCCAGAGAGGAACCUCGCGGAGAAAGCUGGCCCGGUCAUGUCCUGUCAUGUAACGCCGCAACAACGUAGCGCUGCCGCCACGGAACUCGGGGACGAGGGAACAAAGGAACAAUAACAACACUGCUGGGAGGGACGGCGGCCGGCGGCCCGGGCUCGAAAACCCUUUCCCUCUUAGCCUGCCGGCCGACCCUUGAGCUCCACCUCUUGGUGCAAAGUUUCUGCGGUCAGGCCCGGAGCAGGCCGGCCGCCGCCCCUCCGUCCACAGUCCAGCGGCCAGGCCUGGAGGGUCCGUGCGGUGAGCGGGGCCGCGAGUGUCAGAGGGAGGAA